UGUCUUUGUUUGGGCUUCUUCAACUUUGCAUCUUGGACUACUAGCUUCACUUCUAGGCUGUCAACUUCCUCUAUGUCUUCCUUUGAGUGUUAAACCUUUUCUUCGAGUUCCAAUCUUUGUCCAUGUCUGCCAUGCAACCUCUUGGACUACAAAAUAAAUACUUGCAAGUUCAUUAGUCCAACUUUGUUGUGUUGAUCAUCAAAUACCAAAAUCCAAACUAAAUGGGCCAUGGGUCCAUUUUCCUUACAGGAUCAUGUGACUAUGAUAGAGGAAUAUUCAUUGUUUCACCUUGAACACUCCAAAAUCCAAAUCUAGGAAGUAUAGAUCAAGCUAGGGUUUUGUGUGAAGUUUCUCUAGGGUGUUCCUAAGGUCCUUUGG
rnacentral:lncRNA from 1 species